UACGUAGGUGACAAGCGUUGUCCGGAUUUACUGGGCGUAAAGAGCGCGCAGGCGGUCGAUCAAGUCGAGUGUGAAAGCCCCCGGCUCAACUGGGGAGGGUCAUUCGAUACUGAUCGACUCGAAGGCAGGAGAGGGUAGUGGAAUUCCCGGUGUAGUGGUGAAAUGCGUAGGUAUCGGGAGGAACACCAGUGGCGAAGGCGACUACCUGGCCUGUUCUUGACGCUGAGGCGCGAAAGCCAGGGGAGCAAACGGG
rnacentral:rRNA from 1 species